UACGAAGGGGGCUAGCGUUGCUCGGAAUUACUGGGCGUAAAGCGCACGUAGGCGGCUUUCUAAGUCGGGGGUGAAAUCCUGGAGCUCAACUCCAGAACUGCCUUCGAUACUGGAAAGCUCGAGUCCGGGAGAGGUGAGUGGAACUGCGAGUGCAGAGGUGAAAUUCGUAGAUAUUCGCAAGAACACCAGUGGCGAAGGCGGCUCACUGGCCCGGUACUGACGCUGAGGUGCGAAAGCGUGGGGAGCAAACAGG
rnacentral:rRNA from 1 species